rnacentral:rRNA from 1 species
CCUACGGGUGACUGCAGUGAGGAAUAUUGGUCAAUGAGCGCGAGCCUGAACCAGCCAAGUAGCGUGAAGGAUGACUGCCCUACGGGUUGUAAACUUCUUUUAUAAAGGAAUAAAGUGAGGCACGUGUGCCUUUUUGUAUGUACUUUAUGAAUAAGGAUCGGCUAACUCCGUGCCAGCCGCCGCGGUAAUACGGAGGAUCCGAGCGUUAUCCGGAUUUAUUGGGUUUAAAGGGAGCGUAGAUGGGUUGUUAAAUCAGUUGUGAAAGUUUGCGGCUCAACCGUAAAAUUGUCAGUGAUACUGGCAGCCUUGAGUACAGUUGAGGUAGGCGGAAUUCGUGGUGUAGCGGUGAAAUGCUUAGAUAUCACGAAGAACUCCGAUUGCGAAGGCAGCCUACUAAACUGCCACUGACAUUGAUGCUCGAAAGUGUGGGUAUCAAACAGGAUUAGAUACCCUUGUAGUC